rnacentral:rRNA from 1 species
AUUGAACGCUGGCGGCAGGCCUAACACAUGCAAGUCGAGCGGAUGAAGGGAGCUUGCUUCUGGAUUCAGCGGCGGACGGGUGUGUAAUACCUAGGAAUCUGCUUGGUAGUGGGGGAUAACGUCCGGAAACAGGCGCUAAUACUGCAUACGUCCUGCGGGAGCUGGUGGGGGAUCUUCGGACCUCACGCUAUCAGAUGGGCCUAGGUCGGAUUAGCUAGUUGGUGGGGUAAAGGCCUACCAAGGCGACGAUUCGUAAAUGGACUGAUAGGAUGAUAAGUCACACGGGAAGUGAGACAGGGACAAGAGGACUAAGAGAGGGAGCAGUGUGGAAUAUUGGGCAACAGGGGAAAGCCUUAUCCAGCCAGGCCACGUGUGAGAAAAAGGUCUUGGGAUUGUAAAGCACGUUAUGUGGUGGGGAAGGGCAGUAAGUUAAGACCAUGCGGUAGUGACGGUACCAACAGAAUAAGCACCGGCUAACUACGUG